rnacentral:rRNA from 1 species
UUCAAACAACUAAAACAUUUUUAAAAUUAAGUAAAGGAGAUUGAAAAACUCAACGGAGCGACAAAAAUAGUACCGCAAGGGAAAGAUGAAAUAAAAAUGAAACAAAAUUCAAGCACGAAAAAGUAGAGAUUCCCCUCGUACCUUUUGCAUCAUGGUUCAACUAGUCUAAUCAAGCAAAAAGCAUUUUAGUUUGACCCCCCGAAACUAAGCGAGCUACUUCAGGAUAGCUUUAUGAGCAAACCCGUCUCUGUCGCAAAAGAGUGGGGCGAUCCCCAAGUAGUGGUGACAAGCCUAACGAGCUUAGUGAUAGCUGGUUACUCAAGAAAAGGAUUUCAGUUCAACCUAAAGCUUUCCCAAUUUGUGAAAAUACCUUUUAUGGCUUUAGAGUAAUUCAAGUAAGGUACAGCCUACUUGAAACAGGAUACAACCUCAACUGCCGGGUAAAUUUUAAACUCCUUAUCACAAUCAAGUAGGCCUAAAAGCAGCCACCUUCACUAAAAGCGUCAAAGCUUAUUUGUGACCCUCAACUAAUUCCUUAAAUUCCCCUUAACCCUCUAACAGUAUUGAGUAAUUCUAUAUACUUAUAGAACUUAUAAUGUUAAAACUAGUAACAAGAAGUAAACCUUCUCUUUAAUGUAAGUGUAAAUCAGACAGGAUAACCCGCUGAUAAUUAACGUCUAUGAGCCCACAUUAGUAACCCUGCAAGAAAGCCCUAAUAUUUCCUACGUUAACCUGACACAAGAACAUUUCAAGAAAGAUUUAAAGAAAAAGAAGGAACUCGGCAAACCAUUGACCCCGCCUGUUUACCAAAAACAUCGCCUCUUGAAUAAGUAUAAGAGGUCCCGCCUGCCCAGUGACCCCAGUUCAACGGCCGCGGUAUCCUAACCG